rnacentral:rRNA from 1 species
UACGAAGGGUGCAAGCGUUACUCGGAAUUACUGGGCGUAAAGCGUGCGUAGGUGGUGAGUUAAGUCUGUCGUGAAAGCCCCGGGCUCAACCUGGGAAUGGCGAUGGAUACUGGCUCGCUAGAGUGCGGUAGAGGAGAGUGGAAUUCCCGGUGUAGCAGUGAAAUGCGUAGAGACGGGAGGAACAUCAGUUGCGAAGGCGGCUCUCUGGACCAGCACUGACACUGAGGCACGAAAGCGUGGGGAGCAAACAGG